rnacentral:rRNA from 1 species
AGAUUGAACGCUAGCGGGAUGCUUUACACAUGCAAGUUGAACGGCAGCGCGGACUUCGGUCUGGCGGCGAGUGGCGAACGGGUGAGUAAUAUAUCGGAACGUGCCCAGUAGCGGGGGAUAACUACGCGAAAGCGUGGCUAAUACCGCAUACGCCCUACGGGGGAAAGGGGGGGAUUCUUCGGAACCUCUCACUAUUGGAGCGGCCGAUAUCAGAUUAGCUAGUUGGUGAGGUAAAGGCUCACCAAGGCGACGAUCUGUAGCUGGUUUGAGAGGACGACCAGCCACACUGGGACUGAGACACGGCCCAGACUCCGUACGGGAGCAGCAGUCGGGGAAUUUGGACAAGUGGGGGAAACCUGAUCCAGCCAGUCCCGCGUGUCGCGAUGAAGGCCGUUGGGUUACGUAACGU